rnacentral:rRNA from 1 species
GCGUGAAGGAAGAAGGCCUUUGGGUUGUAAACUUCUUUGAUCAGGGACGAAACAAAUGACGGUACCUGAAAAACAAGCCACGGCUAACUACGUGCCAGCAGCCGCGGUAAUACGUAGGUGGCAAGCGUUAUCCGGAUUUACUGGGUGUAAAGGGCGUGUAGGCGGUUUAGUAAGUCAGAUGUGAAAUUCCCGGGCUUAACCCGGUAGCUGCAUCUGAAACUACAAAACUUGAGUACUGGAGAGGAUAGUGGAAUUCCUAGUGUAGCGGUAAAAUGCGU